UGGGGAAUCUUCCGCAAUGGACGAAAGUCUGACGGAGCAACGCCGCGUGAGUGAAGAAGGCCUUCGGGUUGUAAAGCUCUGUUAUCGGGGAAGAACACCUUCCAUGUGAAUAAUGUGGAAGGUUGACGGUACCCGAGGAGGAAGCCACAGCUAACUACGUGCCAGCAGCCGCGGUAAUACGUAGGUGGCGAGCGUUGUCCGGAAUUAUUGGGCGUAAAGCGCGCGCAGGCGGGAAAGUAAGUCUACUCUAAAAGUGCGGGGGCUCAACCCCGUGAUGGGGUGGAAACUGCUUUUCUUGAGUGCCGGAGAGGAAAGCGGAAUUCCCAGUGUAGCGGUGAAAUGCGUAGAUAUUGGGAGGAACACCAGUGGCGAAGGCGGCUUUCUGGACGGUGUCUGACGCUGAGGCGCGAAAGCCAGGGGAGCGAACGGGAUUAGAUACCCUGGUAGUCCUGGCCGUAAACGAUGGGUACUAGGUGUAGGGGGUAUCGA
rnacentral:rRNA from 1 species